rnacentral:rRNA from 1 species
AUGCUAGCCGGCGGCGUUGGCAGCAACAGAGGCGGCAGCUCCCAUCUCUCCUCUUCCGGAGCGGACCUACGCGGAGGCCGGAGCUUCCUCUUCGGGAACACCUGGUUCAUGCUCUCCGCCUACCCGGCGCGCCUGCUCCACACCGCCGACCGCCGCGCGCCCGCCGCCGCCUUCGUCGCCGCCGCCAUCCACCGGACGCCCCGGGUCGUGCGCGCGCACGGCGGCACGGGACAGGGCCUGCUGCAGCGGGGCAUCGUCAUGGCCGCCUGCGGCUACGCCUUCGGGCGGGCCGACCUGGGCGCCGCCGCCAAGCGCCAGCUCGAGAAGGACUCCUCGUCCGUGGCUGCCCACGCCUCGCGCGUCGUCGCCAUGGGGUCGCCUGGGACCGCGGCCAGGCCCGACGUCUCGUUCAAGUACCGGGGUUUGGAGUACUGUAAGAAGGUCGGCGUGAGCUUGAGAUGCCGCGAGCAGUGGGGGGCGGCUAGGACGUUCUGGACCAGUGCCGUUGGACCAGGCAGGCAGCUCGGCUUCUCGGUUGACCCUUGGGCUCGGGAUUUCAGCACGUCGUGUGCGGCGCCUUACUCCGCUGGAGCUACAGAGAGUCAACUGACCCUGGAUGAGGCAUUACAGGAGAAGCAGACGGAUAACUCCACCGUUGCUUCUGAUGGGAAGUCACCUGCUCCUGAAAAACUGAAGCUGGUCUCAGGUUCUUGUUACCUGCCUCAUCCUGCUAAGGAGGCGACUGGCGGCGAAGAUGGCCACUUCAUUUGCAUUGAUGAACAGGCGAUUGGUGUGGCAGAUGGUGUUGGUGGUUGGGCAGAUCACGGUGUUGAUGCUGGACUAUAUGCGAAAGAACUAAUGAGUAAAUCAAUGAGUGCUAUCAAGGAUGAACCAGAAGGUGCAAUUGACCCAUCAAGAGUUCUGGAGAAAGCUUUUACAGGCACCAAAGCAAGGGGAUCAUCAACUGCUUGCAUCAUCACUCUUAAAGAACAGGGUCUUCAUGCUGUAAAUCUUGGGGACAGUGGCUUCAUAGUGGUCAGAGAUGGCCGCACUGUUCUCAAAUCACCUUCGCAGCAGCAUGAUUUUAAUUUUACUUAUCAGCUCGAGAGUGGGGGUGGCAGUGAUCUUCCAAGUUCUGCCGACGUAUUUCACUACUCGGUUGCUUCUGGUGAUGUUAUCAUUGCCGGCACGGAUGGGCUUUUCGACAACCUGUACGACAACGAAAUCACUGCCGUCGUUGUCGAGGCCCUCAGGAGUGGCCUCGGUGCCCAGGGCACAGCUCAGAAAAUCGCGGCCCUUGCUCGGGAGAGAGCGGAGGAUAAGCACAGGCAGUCGCCCUUUGCAGCCGCUGCUCAGGAGGCUGGGUACAGGUACUAUGGAGGGAAGCUUGACGACAUCACGGUCGUGGUGUCGUAUGUGACGAGCGCCGCAGCCGUUUAA